rnacentral:misc_RNA from 1 species
GAAAUGCGAUAAGUAAUGUGAAUUGCAGAAUUCAGUGAAUCAUCGAAUCUUUGAACGCACAUUGCGCCUCCUGGUAUUCCGGGAGGCAUGCCUGUUCGAGCGUCAUUAUGACCACUCACGCUCCGCGUGGAUUUGGGGCCCGCUGUACUGGCGGCCCUUAAACACAGUGGCGGUGCCGUCUGGCUCUACGCGUAGUAAUUUCUCUCGCGAUUGGGUCUUGCGGUUGCUUGCCAACAACCCCCAACUUUCUUAGGUUGACCUCGGAUCAGGUAGGGAUACCCGCUGAACUUAA